rnacentral:rRNA from 1 species
AGUAAUGCGUGACCAACCUGCCCCACUGCUCCAGAAUAGCUCUUGGAAACGGGUGGUAAUGCUGGAUGCUCCAACUUGACGCAUGUCUUGUUGGGAAAGUGUUUAGUGGCAUGGGAUGGGGUCGCGUCCUAUCAGCUUGUAGGCGGGGUAAUGGCCCACCUAGGCUUCGACGGGUAGCGGCCUGAGAGGGCGGACGGCCACAUUGGGACUGAGAUACGGCCCAGACUCCUACGGGAGGCAGCAGCC